CCCGUUGGCGGCGGCGAUGCGGAGGAUCAGCUGGAUGGCCUCCUUCAUGUAAAACCGCCCGUCGCCCCCCACCACCAGCGUGGCCGCCUGCCUUUCCCCCGGCUCGAUGGUGGAGAUAAUGCUCUGGAUGAAGUUCUCGGCGUAGUGGGCAUUGCCUUGGAAAACCUUGACCCGCUUACGGAGGCCGCUGGUGCCCGGCUUUUGGUCGAGAUCAGGGAUCUCCAACCUUAGUAACUCAGUUUGUGGACUUCAACUUCCAGAGUUCCUCAUUCAGCAAAGCAGGAAGUCAAAGCAAAUUGUAAUCAGUAGCUGAAGAAAAGCAUGGCGGUGCCAGCCCGAAAGGAGCAGUAAUUAUAGGGCUUCCAAAAAUCACUGAGGGGAAACUACAUAUCUGGUCUCCAGCAACUACUAUGAAUCAGAAGUGUCAAACUGGCGGCCCACAGGCUGGAUGAGUCAUGUGCAGGCCACGCCCAAUCCAGCUCCACAAAAGGAAAAAAGUCGUGAAACAUCACAUGACAGCAAUGUGACGCUGUGAGUUUAACACAUAUGCUGUAAAUCAACACUUCAAAACCAAUACCGGCUGCUCAUUCGUUAAGUGCUGGUGAGGCAAUUAUUCCACAUUUGUAUGAUCAUUUUUCUUUCUUUUUUUUUUAAAAAAAGCAUCCUUUAGAUUUUUAGUCAAUGGAAGCCAAGAUAUAGCUGAGUAAAAGAGUACAGAAUAUAAAGUGUAACUAGAGUCUUCCACAGGGUGCAAUAAAGGAUGGGUUUAUGAUGCUCAUAAUGAAAAUAGGGCUGUUACAACUAUGUCCCCAAUAUUAUCUGUGACAUUUUGGAGAAUAUAAUAAUUCAUUCUCAACACUGGGAAAAGAAUAGCCUUUUAUGAUAUAUCUUAUCUGUAACAAUAAAUUCAGGGAAUUUGUAAAAAGUACCACACUUCCAAUAUCAUUCACUUAAGGCUCUGGCUAGAAAGUCAACUACCGAAAUACUUUGAGACCAGUAUAUAAACACAAAAUGUAAAUAUUCUCAUGACAUAUUAUUAAGAAUUGUUUCUCUAUUUUAAGAUAAUGUUGAACAUUAUGUAGUGUUGGAAAUAAAUUAUUAGGGCAUUAUAAACAGAUUGAACUUUAUUCUUUAGAAUCUUGAUAUACUAUUGCUCUUUUGUAGUCUAUUUAAUUUGUUAUAAUCCUACUGAAACAGUUCAUUAAUUUCAGUUUCUUUUCCGCAUUGUAGAGUUUCUUAUCAACAUUAAUGAAUUCAUCUAUAUGACAUCCAUGUGCCAGAGAGUCUGUUCUCUGGAUGCUUUUCCUAAUUCCUUAUCUUAUAUUAAAGAUGAAAUAAAAGUCUUAAAAUUAAUUAUAUCUGCAGAUUACCUAUAUAUGGUUUCAUUAAAGAAUCAGAAGGCAAACAUAAUUUUACAGCUUUAUAAUUGAACUAUAAUAAAGCCAUUUUGACAGCAUAUGGAGCUCUCUUAGCUUCCAUUUAAGUGUAUAUACUUUAUGGUACAAACUCAGGUAAUUCCAAAAGACAAUAGAUUGACAUGAUUUUUUUUUGUUGGAUCAAGGCAUCUACAGUUUUGCAUGUGGUCAUUUGAAUGUUUUAAUGAAAUAUAUUACAACAUAUAAAAAUGUAUGCAGUUUUUUUAAAACAAAGUUCUUAACAGAAUCCUAUUUUUUUCUAAAGACCUGACAAGGAAUCCUUCCAUUCAAAGGAGUCCUCCCUAAAAUUAAUGACUUGGAAAUAUUUAUUAAAAAAAAUAACAAAAGAUAAAGCUGCUUCCAAGUUGAUUUAGAUUAGAUUAGAUUUAGAUUUAUUUGAUUUCUAUACCGUCCUUCUCCCAAAGGACUCAGGGCGGUUUACAGCCAACAUAAAAACAAUUUUAUCAAUAAAAUUAAAAACAAUUUUAAAGAUCUGAUUCAAUUUAAACUGUUGUUGGCUACAUCCAUGCAUUUUUAAACAGUAUAAUAACGGACACAAGCAGAAAGGAAUUGCAAUGGAAUAGGUUUCCUGCUACUUGUAGAUUUUUUUCCUUUGCAGUCUGAAGGGAUAUGGUGUGCCAUUGAGGCAUUAUUGUAGAUAUGACAUGGGAAAAACCUUUCAAAAUGAUGCUGAAAGAAGAAUGGGAAAUAUAUCACUCAUUGCUGAUAAUCUCAGGAGCUAACUCAUCUAGUGCCUUCAACAUAAACCCAGAUUCCAAAAAGUACUUCUUCGAAAUGUACAAGGUAUGCUAGUUGGAGGAUAACAUGUUUUUUCCAUCAACAAAAUAAUACAUCCAGAAAUUGGAAAGGAAAGACUUCCUUAAAGGAAACAAAUUUAUAUCUUUUGCAAAAGAGUGAGAGAAUAACUACAUAUUUAUUGUGCAAUAAAAUGACCACCUGGAAUACCUUUCAUAACUGAUGUGAGAUUUACUGAAGCUCCAAUAGCACGGGUGACUGAGAAGAUAGAACAAUAGAAGGACAACUUUUAUUUAUUUUGUUACUCCCUAACAUAAGCCUUUAUUAAAGACAUUUGACAGUAGGCACAAGCAAAAUAAAACACAAAUGUGGAUGUUAUUCAUUUCCUAGGUAUGAGGGUGUUUGUUGGGGCCCCUUGUAAGUAUAGCCCUCUUGUUUCUUGUGUGGUUUCCAGGUUAAGACAAAAAUAAAAAUAACAUCCAAAUUGAGUAGGUAAAGCCCUUUAAGUAUCUUAUCAGUUUUGAAUCCUUCCCCGACAGAAAUUUCAGUCUUCAGUCUUGAAGUUUUCUCUAAAUUGAGAAACUUAUUUUACACAUUCUUAUGUAAAGGUCAGUACAUAGUUUUUGGGUUGGGUUGAGAAUAUACAUAGGUCACAUAUGAUUUAUUAUCAAACUCCUAACUGUUCUGUAUCGUAGAGAAGUAAGAUAUUCUUAGACUGAGAGGUGAUUUUGCUGGUAUGUGGUAUUUGUAUUUGUUGGUGCUUGUUUUUUAUUUUUUAUGAUCCAAUAUGUAAGGAGUUCCUUGGAGAACUUUGUAUGUUUAUACUGGUUGUCUAGCCUAUAGAAAUGAGCAGCAUUCAAGCUAUAUAAAUAAAUGAAUUCUAUCUCCUUA